GUAUUAGAUACCCUGGUAGUCCACGCCGUAAACGAUGUCGAUUUGGAGGUUGUGCCCUUGAGGCGUGGCUUCCGGAGCUAACGCGUUAAAUCGACCGCCUGGGGAGUACGGCCGCAAGGUUAAAACUCAAAUGAAUUGACGGGGGCCCGCACAAGCGGUGGAGCAUGUGGUUUAAUUCGAUGCAACGCGAAGAACCUUACCUGGUCUUGACAUCCACAGAACUUCCAGAGAUGGAUUGGUGCCUUCGGGAACUGUGAGACAGGUGCUGCAUGGCUGUCGUCAGCUCGUGUUGUGAAAUGUUGGGUUAAGUCCCGCAACGAGCGCAACCCUUAUCCUUUGUUGCCAGCGGUUAGGCCGGGAACUCAAAGGAGACUGCCAGUGAUAAACUGGAGGAAGGUGGGGAUGACGUCAAGUCAUCAUGGCCCUUACGACCAGGGCUACACACGUGCUACAAUGGCAUAUACAAAGAGAAGCGACCUCGCGAGAGCAAGCGGACCUCAUAAAGUAUGUCGUAGUCCGGAUUGGAGUCUGCAACUCGACUCCAUGAAGUCGGAAUCGCUAGUAAUCGUAGAUCAGAAUGCUACGGUGAAUACGUUCCCGGGCCUUGUACACACCGCCCGUCACACCAUGGGGAGUGGGUUGCAAAAGAAGUAGGUAGCUUAACCUUCGGGAGGGCGCUUACCACUUUGUGAUUCAUGACUGGGGGUGAAGUCGUAACA
rnacentral:rRNA from 1 species